GAAAAAUAAAACUUUAAUUUUCUGUUAUAAGAAUUAAGUAAUAAGUUAUGUUGCUCCCAAGCUAAAAAUAGCUACAAAACUGGAUUAGUACCCAGGUAUGCGCUUAUUUUAAGGUAUUCACAUUAAACCUAAACUGUCUGGCAGCUAUUUAUUCUUUUUAGAGAAUUUUGGUUUAUAAAUUGACACCCCACAAUUUUAUUUACUGCACUUAGGCUUGCGUGUGGUUGUUUUAAAAUAAAUUUCAAAUUAAAUUUUGUUCAAAUAACAUGUAGCUUAGUUCAGGAAUAACUGAAAUGCCUUAACCUCUUUUAGCUUAGCUAGGAUUUAAUAGUAGGUUAAAAAAAUCGAAUCAGUU
rnacentral:rRNA from 1 species